rnacentral:rRNA from 1 species
GGUCCAGACUCCUACGGGAGGCAGCAGUGGGGAAUAUUGCGCAAUGGGCGAAAGCCUGACGCAGCGACGCCGCGUGAGGGAUGAAGGUUCUCGGAUCGUAAACCUCUGUCAGAAGGGAAGAAAUUAUAUCAUGCUAAUCAGUGGUGUAUUGACGGUACCUUCAAAGGAAGCACCGGCUAAUUCCGUGCCAGCAGCCGCGGUAAUACGGAAGGUCCGGGCGUUAUCCGGAUUUAUUGGGUUUAAAGGGAGCGUAGGCCGGCUUUUAAGUCAGCUGUGAAAGUCCGCGGCUCAACCGUGGAAUUGCAGUUGAAACUGGAGGCCUUGAGUGCACACAGGGAUGCCGGAAUUCAUGGUGUAGCGGUGAAAUGCUUAGAUAUCAUGAAGAACUCCGAUCGCGAAGGCAAGUGUCCGGGGUGCAACUGACGCUGAGGCUCGAAAGUGCGGGCAUCAAACAGGAUUAGAUACCCUCGUAAU